UAGCUCUAAAAUCGGUACCUGUAUCAGCUGCAAAGCAAAUACCACCAGCAGAAGCAAAGAGGGAGAAAUACAGCUCUCUGCUCGCUCAAUUUCCCGCAGUUAGAAGCUUUCAAAAGAAACAGUCGACAAGACAUCGUUGCAGAAAGGGUAGCAGAGCCAAGAGAGCUGUAUUUCUCCCUCUUUGCAGCUGAUACAGGUACCGAUUUUAGAGCUACUAAAGUGCUGGAUCGCCCGUGCUACCUCUCUGGGUUGCUCAAGGCUUUCUAAGGCGUUGAACUACAAGUGCUAGCCAGUAAAAAGCUGAAAAGAUACCUCCUCAGAAAACCGAGCCCCCCUCCCUACCCAGCUCCAGAGGCAGCUCGAGCUCGGCCCGAGCCUCCCUUCAACGAGAGCUCUGCUCCUCGACUGAAAAUGUGAAGCCUUUAGUGCUCCCCCUCCUCACCCCGACAGGGGCUUGGAGAGCUGCGGGAUGGAGCUCCCGGUGAAGGCGCGGGGAGCAGCCAGCGAGCCCCGCAGCUGCUCAGAGCACAGGGCGGUCCCUGUGGGAGCGGGUCGCGCUCAGUCCCUGCCCUUCACCCUCCCCACCGCAGUCCGGUGGUGCCAGCAGCUCCGGGCAGUUCCCCUCUUUCCGUGUCUUUGCUUGAACCGUUUUCUGGCUUUGUCCUCGGCUCCAUUUCUGUGUGAGAACCCCCUCGGACCCAGGAAGGUCAGGUUUCCCAAGCUCCUGGUGCCUGUUCUGCACAUGGAACACCGGUCUGGGAGCCUCCUUCCCGAGGCUGCUGCUGUGGGUGGAGAUGCUGAGGCUGAUUUCAGUGCCUGGCCGGGGGUCGAGACCUCCCCAGCCCAGCUGUGCCCACUCUCGUCCCCCCUGAACUGAGGCGCAAACGCCCCCAGCCCUUCCCAGCACAGCCUCUUCUUUUCCUGGGCGAUUCAGCUGCUCCAGGAGUGACCUGAUCCCCGGGAACCCAACGGAGCCGAGCCCUUCAUCCAGCCCAGCCUGGCUGUGCUGUGCUCGCCACAGCACCAACUGAGCCCCAGCGAAGCCCUGCCCAAGGCCCCGGGGCCAGGAGCCAGCCUUGAGGAGCUCUGCCUCCCGCUGGAUCAGGCAGCGAGGAAGGGCUGCAGUGAUAACCCCACCCUGACCUGGCCCUCAGCACCACAUCCAUGAGCUGAGGAAAGCUUUGCUGAUAACCUCGCACUGGCACAGUCCUGAAAUUCAACAAAACCCAGGAAAAGAGGACAAACACUGGUGGAGACUUGGAUUAAAAAAUAGAAAGAGUCCUGCUGGCAGAUGCAGAGAAGGAAGGAACCCCCAGCCAGCACAGGAGCUGCUGUGACCACCUUGCCCUGGGCAGCUGGGGCUCCAGGGCAGGCGCAUUUUGGAGCAUGGAUUUAGGGAAUUGUCAGUGUCAGCUUUGUGUCCUCCCAAGCACACCCUCCUGUGCACAGCACAGGGAACAUUUCUGUAAUACCAAACGUCUUCCCUGCUUUGGAAGAGGUGCUUCAUGUCGAGCCUGAGCUCACCCGGGAGGAUGAGGGGUUUUGCUGUGAGCUCAGCAGGUUUGGGCCUGCACUGGAAAAGCUGUGUCUGAAACCCAGGGAGACCCAAGUGGGAUAACCAGGAGAGGAGAGCCAAGACAGGGUUAGGGCUAUUCAGGAUAACCAAGUGUCCUGCUCUUCCUGAGGUCCAGGGCAGCCGCCUGAACCCACCACCUCCUUCCCCAGUCCCACAGUGUCCAGCUGAUCCUCAGGGAGGUGACAUUUGGAGGGCUCUGUGAGAAAUACGGCUUGAAACAGGGCCAGACCCUCCCAGUCCCCCUUGGAGAGGUGCAAGGAGCUGGGAAGGACAAAACCGGACCAUGAAGAGCCUCCCGCCUCCUCACAGGGGCUCUGUGGUGGCAGCUCAUUGUCCCCGUGAUGUCACCAGUGACAGCAGGGGCACAGGGGUGCCAGCCACGUCCUGGUGCCCUUGGGAACAGGUGCCCAGCACCUGCAGCUGGUGGCAGCUGUAAAACCAGGGAGUGCAGCCCUGACUCACUGCCCCUGAUUGCUGCUGCCUGGGAACGGGAGGAGAGGAUCAAACCCCUCGGGAGAACAGGAAAGGGCACUGCAGGAUCCUUGAAAUGCACGAGGAGCUCUUGUCCCAUCUCUGAAGUGCACAUCCUCAGCAGUGCAGGGAUUCUGGGAAUGGCAGGAAUUCUUCAGGGAAACCUUCAUUGAAGGAAAAUUGGGGCUUUCUCCAGCUGGGGCUCCCGGAGCUCUUGGCCAGUCCUUCCUUUCCUGUCCUUUUCAGCCCCUUGCUCUACAGGCUCAGGGCUGGAGCCACCCCCGCCUCUGCUGCAGGAACGAUGUCCUUUGGUUUUCCAUCUCCUCUCCUCUCCUGAUCCCUGGCCCUGAGCAGCUCAGGGCCCUGCAGAGGCCACGGGCUCCAGGAGAGGUGAAAAGCUGGACGAGGUGACCUGUGGUGGCCUUUGCUCUGUGUGGGUGUCACCCCUGCCCAGGCUGGCACUGCCAGCCUGCAUCUGCUCAGGCCACGGAGAGGGGUUUGAUGGGUUUGGUGAGAUUAAUGAGAUUAAUGAGAUUAAUGAGUUCAGGGACCCUGGCUGAGCCGCUGCUCCAGAGGACUCGAUGGGAGAGGAUCCCAGAUGGAGAACCAGGCAAAUCUGGGAGUGUGGGAGGAUCCUCACGGCCCCUGGAGAGAGCCAAGCCCAGCCUGGAGAGCACCGAGUGCAGGGAAUGCAGGCUCCAUCUCCAGCAGAGCCCCAGGGGCGAUCAAAGGUGACCUCUUCUCCCUGUGAUCCCCCAGUCUCGGCAUCCCCCCGAACCCAGAGCUGCUUUGUGCUGCCUGCUUUAAACUCCUCGGUUCCAAACAGCUGCUCCUUGGUUUUCCUAAGGAAGGCUCCCAUUUUGCCAGCCCUGGAGAUCCUGGAUCACAGUGUUUCCCUGUGCACGGUGUGUUUGCACACCUCACUCCUGUUCUAUUCCUUCUCCGCACGCUGCUUCCGUGUUUUAUUCCGACGGUCCUGCUGUGCCUCGGGAGCUUCUGAGCUCUGAUAAUAAUUGUAGGGGUCAUCAAAUAAAUCAUCCUGAGCUACCUGCA